rnacentral:rRNA from 1 species
UACGUAGGUGGCAAGCGUUGUCCGGAUUUAUUGGGGUUAAAGGGCGCGUAGGCGGCCGCUUGCGUCGGAUGUGAAAGCCCGGGGCUCAACCCCGGAACGGCAUCCGAUACGGGGCGGCUCGAGACCGAGAGAGGUGAGUGGAAUACCCAGUGUAGAGGUGAAAUUCGUAGAUAUUGGGUGGAACACCGGUGGCGAAAGCGGCUCACUGGCUCGGUUCUGGCGCUGAGGCGCGAAAGCGUGGGGAGCAAACAGG